rnacentral:rRNA from 1 species
CCGCAUAACAUUGUUGAAUGCAUGAAUUAACAAUCAAAGGAGCAAUCCGCUGAAAGAUGGGACUCGCGUCCGAUUAGCUAGACGGCGAGGUAACGGGCCCACCAUGGCGACGAUCGGUAGCCGGACUGAGAGGUUGAACGGCCACAUUGGGACUGAGACACGGCCCAGACUCCUACGGGAGGCAGCAGUGGGGAAUAUUGCACAAUGGGGGAAACCCUGAUGCAGCAACGCCGCGUGAAGGAAGACGGUCUUCGGAUUGUAAACUUUGUUCUUAGUGAAGAAACAUGACGGUAGCUAAGGAGAAAGCCACGGCUAACUACGUG